CAGCGGCUAAGGACCCAGCUUGACCCGCCACCGCAGUGUUCCUUAGAGGGCCGGCCUUAACGAAUGGACCCACCAGGAGGAAGCCGUGAGCCAGACCCACUUCGAUUCCCCUCAGAAGUGGGUUCACUGCCGUCCUAUAGGCUGGGAGGUUGGAAAGGUACCAUGCAAUUAAGGGGCUUGAGGUGAUUGGAGUCUCCAGGCUUCCAAUGAAGGGGUCGCCGUUGAUGGGUUGGAUUACUUGAAAUGUUGACUGCAAAAGGAGAGGGAGGGGGGGGGGGAUGAUAAAAAAAACUUAGUGAAGUGACGAGCCUAGCUAAGCUAACAGUGACC
rnacentral:lncRNA from 1 species